rnacentral:rRNA from 1 species
UACAGAGGGUGCGAGCGUUGUUCGGAAUUAUUGGGCGUAAAGGGCGCGUAGGCGGCGCCACAAGUCACCUGUGAAAACUCUGGGCUCAACCCAGAGCCUGCAGGCGAAACUGUGGUGCUGGAGUAUGGGAGAGGUGCGUGGAAUUCCCGGUGUAGCGGUGAAAUGCGUAGAUAUCGUUUGGAACGCCAAUGGUGAAAACAGGUAACUGGGGAUGUGCCGACGCUGAGACACGAAAGCCAGGGGAGCGAACGGG